AUCAACCUAAUUUUGGAGGUGACAAAAGCGCCAAAAAAAGCGCCAAACUAUUGGGCUGAAAAACCGCCCAUAGAAAACAUUUCUCAUUUAGAGCACGCGGCAUGCUGUAGAAGAAUCGUGUCAAAUUGUUCUGAUAUUUUUGGCGUUGUCACAUUUAUACAAAGGAAGAAGGAAGAACGCUAUACUUACUUUACUUCUUCAAAAGAAAGUCAAAUCCAUUGAAUAUUCUGAGAUCAAGAACCGCAAAGAGAUAAGAGAAAAUGGACGCCAUUGAUUCAGUCUUCGAUCCCCUCAGAGAGUUCGCCAAGGACAGCGUCAGGCUCGUAAAACGUUGCCACAAGCCAGAUCGCAAAGAAUUCUCAAAGGUUGCUGUUCGUACUGCCAUCGGGUUCGUCGUGAUGGGAUUCGUUGGCUUCUUCGUUAAGCUCAUCUUUAUUCCAAUUAACAACAUCAUCGUUGGAUCUGGUUAGGAUGAUGGGAACGAGAGUCACUUUAAGGAAUUCAAGUUAUGGGGUGACCGGAAGCAUAAAGCGUUCUCAACUUCUCACUCUUAGUUCUGCUAUGUUUCGUCUAUUUUGUUUUGUUUUUUUUUUUCCUUCAGUCAUCUCUGGGAGCAUUACAGUGAGAUUUAGAAUGUAAAAUUUUUAGACCUCGACACAUUGCUUUGAUUUAGGAUUAAGGACGCAAAAAAUUGAGGAAUUGCAGUUUUGCUUUUAGACUUUGUUAACCUUGAAUUUGGGGAAGGGGUCUGGGAUUUGGGGUCCCUGCAUCUACAUUCAUAUAUCAAGAAAGUUAUGUUUUGUGUC